UUCGUUUUGUAAAAACAAGAAAUGAAUAGCUGAAAGGUUUUGUUUUUUGUCCCACGCUGCCAUUGUGACGAUCUGUUCCUAGCCAGAAUCAAUCAGACAUGCAAUGGGAUUUCAUGAACCAGCCUCAGGAACACACCUGGGGUCUGUGAAGACUGUCGCUGGGGCUGAUUCAAUUUGGACCUGUGCCUCCAAACAGUGUCACGUCUCGUAGCAGAUGCCAUAUCACAAAAGAUUAAUUAACAGCAUACGGACAAGCGUGUGCGUCGCAUGCAUUGAGACUUCAAUAUGUCUUCAUUUGCCUUGGGAUGCCAUGGGGCGAACUCCAUUAGCUUGCUGUGGGUAUUCAUUCAUUUUUCCUCCAAUUAAAAAAGGUUCAAGUCCUAAUUUCCAAAUAUCACAUAACAGGAAAAAGGAUAAACACUGUGGCAAUAGUGUUAACACCCCAUUAAAAGGCUUCACCCCACUACAUCAUCCAUGACUUCAUAAGGUCUUUGCAGUACAAAUCCUUUGUGCCAUGCUAGUCUGGACACAGUGGCGAUAACCUGUAUUCUGUUUUACAAAAGGUCCCUUAACAUUAAUAUGGCACUAACCCUAAUGUCCAAUCAUUUGCACAUUCAACCUAGUCCUACAUACAGAAGCAGCAUUUAUUAUAUAUAUAUAUAUUUUUUUUUUUUUUUAAUGCAGCAUUUCCACUCAGUGUCUUGUCUAGAAACUUUAGCAUACUCCAUAUGAAAAGCCAGUAUGGCUGAAAGGAUGCCUGCAUUCCAGAAAUACAGAGAGAUGCACGUUCUUUGCAUCUAUAAAGCAGAGUAAUGUUGUUAUGACCCCUAUGUUAAACAUGCACAUGUGUGCAUUUCUCUUUUCCUGUUAAAGCUAUAAGCCCUUCCCUGCAGCAGUGUCAAGCGCAGACAUUUAAUGUUUAAAGUAGGUUGGUAAUUUAAUUCACUUUUUUUAGUCUGAAGUAAGGGUUUUAAAACGUGAAGGGAAUUCUAAAGAAAUAUGUUUCUACAUUUGCAUUGCAUUCUGCAUCAGCUAAUAAAGAGUUUAAUUGAAUUCCGGGGAUCAGCUUAAUUCAAGGCACAUGACACUAAAAAAAGAGCCUGUAGCUAUAACAGGAAAACAGCUUAUCUGCUCGUUAUCUAUCUUUAAACCUGUAAAAUAAUUAACUGAAUAAAUUUAACAGAUGUUUACGAGUAUAUGCACACACUGUUGUUCCCAAAGAAGGACAAUUUCGCUUUCUCUUCUGACCUGCAGAAAACCAUUUAAAAAGGGCCUCUCUCUGGUCUAAGCAGCUCAGACGAACAGGUAAGCAGCGGUGAGUUUUUUUCUUCAGAAGAUGAAUUGGUAAGCUGUCUGCUAGAGACAGGCCAAGUAGUUGUGUUUCUGUAAUGGGACACUGGAAGUGUCUUUGAUUAAUGGAAUAGCGAUACUGAGCUGUUAGUGAACCUUAUGGCAGGAAGAGCGAUUGAUGAACGGAUACUUGCAGACAGAUCUGAGAGCCUUAGCAGAAGGGGUACAGAUUUGAGGGGUUUUUAGCUUGCUGGGGAGUACCCCAACAACAGUAGGUCACAAAUGUUCAUUUCGGACAUUAUACAAAACUACGGUAAGGUCACCUUACACUAAAAAAAAACAAACGGUCUUAUAAGACUCAUUUGAGAAUGUGUUUAGCCCCUCAGUAAAAUAACACAACAUUAUGAAACCUCUCCAUUAAAUAAAUACAGCUGCAUUACAAACAUACGAAACCACAACCCAUGCCGUUUGUAUUAUACAGAAAGUAUGCUACACAAAAAAAUUAAAUGGUAUGCAAAUCUUAUUUAGUCUGACAACAGCAACGUCAUCAGUGACCAUACAGAUUUGUACAACUGAUUUUCAGAGUGUAUGGCGUUACUAAUGGCAACAACUGCUGUAUUCCAUGUGCCAAGGCACAAUGUGAGGGAUUCCAAACAAUACAAGAAUACAAAACAGAUAUACCACCUUAACUAUGGCAUUAAGACAAGGCAAUAAGCCAGCGCUAUUACUCUGCAUUUGCAUUCCACCUUCAUUACCAUUGUGUCCUUGGAACUCAAGCAUUUUAUGGAAGCCUUAAAUGCAGAUAAAAAUCAAAUCCUGCAUAAUGAAGGUUUUAAUGCAGAAUAGAAAAAAACGCAGAAAAUGUAUGUCUGUCCAAGAAGUGAAAGGAUUUACAAGAAGGGCUGAAAGAUUUGGAGGUUAACCCAAUGAACUCCAGGACCAACAACUGAAGCGCCGCAUCUUCACUACAGCGAGAGAAAAAAUACCAACUAAAAUCGUAAUGCAGAGGCGGGCACAAACAGACUUUGUACGCAGGAGCCAAACACUGUAUUGACCAUUGAUCAGUUUGUAUAAGAGAGCUUUCAGUUUCUGGCUUUUUAAUGGAAUUGUGGUGCAAACCUAUUUAAAAUUUAAACCGUGAAAGGAAGUUUUUUUAUUUUAUUUUUCGUUUCUCUAUCCAUUUUGGUCCUUCUCUCAUUUAAAAGGUUUUGCUUGGCUGCCAUCCCUAACCUCAAAAACAUUCUGUACAGAACGAAAUAAGCCUAUUCAUUCAAAAAACAUUCUGGAAAAGUUUUUGUUUACCCAGCGCUAAAAAGAAACCUAACAAUACUAAGGUUAGUGAGUGGAAGAACACUGUGUUAAGCUGUUAGGCAGCCAAGUCCUGGGUUUGCUGUUUGGAAGAGCUUUCCGAUAAAGCAGAGAUUAAAACUUGUCAACACCACCCCGUUCAAACAGGAGUUAUAAUAUUGUCCUUGUUGGUAUUUUUAGCAAGUAUUGUAUAGGCCAAUCCACAAAUGGCCUGUACAGUACACUGUGUAGGGUGUCAGUGAGUUUCUCAGUGCCAGCAAAACAGUUGUUUACAAGAUCUCGUUAAAAAAAAACAUUUUAAAUGAUCUUGAUAUUUGAUAGACCAUUAGUGACUUAUAAAAUGUGCCAAUGUUUUUUUUUUUUCUGAAAGGACUCUGAAAACGAAGCAAAGCAAUGUCAUUUGGUGUUAUUUAUUACAGAGAAAAGUGAAUAACCCAGCUAAUUAAUUACUGCAUGUGUGUGUGACAAAUACACACACAUAUAUAUAUAAAUUGAUUUCUAUUUAUUUAUUUUUGCAUUGCUGCAUCUCGAGUUGAUUAUUCCAGAGGCACGGAAGAGAGGAUGUUUAUGUUAGGCUCAUUUCCAGGCUCUAACCCCUCCUAAGGGAAUGAGUUCCUGACCCACAGUGACGGCAAAAGGUAUGUGAACCAUCUGGACAAAGCUAGUGACCACAAAGCCCCCUAUACACGGAGCGGACUGUGAGCGCCGCUUUCCUCACACAACGCUUUCAUUCAAUACCCCAUGCUUUGAUAGCCAUCUACUUGUAGGGGUCACUGAUAAUUUUCAACUCCCUCCUUUGUCAAUGUGAAUGAUUAUACCUUGCAUCUCCUCUGCCCUGAAGCUCACUUCAGGAGAGGUAAGUGAUCCCUUUGCCCUGUAGAAUAAUGCACCAUGUAGGAAUAAAAAUGUUUCUCCUAUGAAGAAGCUGUUAAUAAUAUUGCAAUAACCUUUUGCCUGAAAAAACUAUAUAGAAGGAUUCAAGUAUGAGGAUCAAGUAACUUUCCUCCAAACGCUUUUUUUUUUUUUUUAAGAAAGCAUGUAUGUUUUCUCAUCUGUAUGACACUAUCUGUUAAACAAUUAAAAAGCAUGUAAAUCAUUUUAAGGUAUUUUCAAGGACUGUUUAAGAAAGUUUAAAAUCAAUUCUCACAGUAAACCUUGCACUCCAAACUGAGAAAAGAUUUCAUGAACUGCAAACAUGAUUUACAAUCUCUAAAAAUAAAAUUAAAAGCACGUAAAAACAUUCCUCAAAACAGGGUUCAUAGUUUAUACUGUCUUUUAAAUACAGUUUCAAUGGCACUUAACACCCAAGAAAAGUAGCAGACUAAAGACCUUACUCACAGAAUUAAACAGGCCUUCUUUAUUUGUUAUAGAAAUCUAUUCGGAUUAAUAAAAUAGGGUUUCUUGUUAUGCCUCCCUUUUCAGACUGUUUAAACAGCAAAUCGGAGCUUUUUCUUGUUGACGCACCAAAUUUACUACACAAACUGCAGAGUGUCAGAUAAUAAAUGUAUAAAUAAAUCUGCUUCCUUUACAAAUACCCAAUGUGUUCUGACGAAACUGCCCCAUUUGAAAUUGCCUAUUAAAAAUCAGGUUAAUGAUCACACUUGUAGUCUGGCGAACUGGUAAGAAUCGUAUUGAUUUGUCAUAGUUUAAAGUAUUUGAAUAUUUGAAUAGCAAUUCACAAAUGAAGGGUGCUCCCCUUCACAUGGAACAUGCAAGAGUCCGCUCCCAAGCCACUGCUCUGUGUUUCUCUACAGCAGGAGGUGCAGCAGUGUGUACUGGAACAUGCAAGAGCCCGUUCCCAAGCCACUGCUCUGUGUUUCUCUAUAGCAGGAGGUGCAGCAGUGUGUACUGGAACAUGCAAGAGCCCGUUCCCAAGCCACUGCUCUGUGUUUCUCUAUAGCAGGAGGUGCAGCAGUGUGUACUGGAACAUGCAAGAGCCCGUUCCCAAGCCACUGCUCUGUGUUUCUCUAUAGCAGGAGGUGCAGCAGUGUGUACUGGAACAUGCAAGAGCCCGUUCCCAAGCCACUGCUCUGUGUUUCUCUACAGCAGGAGGUGCAGCAGUGUGUACUGGAACAUGCAAGAGCCCGUUCCCAAGCCACUGCUCUGUGUUUCUCUACAGCAGGAGGUGCAGCAGUGUGUACUGGAACAUGCAAGUCCUGAAGCGCUCCACAGGGGAUAGGAGGACUGAACAAGUUUCACCUGAUAAUCAACACUGACACUCCAUUUGAAAAUCAGGAGAUUCUAACUCAUUAAAAUCCAUGAACAUUUCACAGAUACAACUGUCAAGUGCAUUUUGUCCCCAUUCCCACCCCCACUAAGUUAACAGUAUUUUACAUCUCCCGGUUCAGAUGAGUCACACAGCAGAUCACACCGCCUGUAGCCCAGUAAUGCUGCUAUACUCUCUGCUCUGUGUGUGUGUGUGUGUGCGCGUGU